rnacentral:rRNA from 1 species
ACUGGCGUAAAGAGCUCGUAGGCGGUUUGUCGCGUCUGCUGUGAAAAUCCGAGGCUCAACCUCGGACUUGCAGUGGGUACGGGCAGACUAGAGUGUGGUAGGGGAGACUGGAAUUCCUGGUGUAGCGGUGGAAUGCGCAGAUAUCAGGAGGAACACCAAUGGCGAAGGCAGGUCUCUGGGCCACAACUGACGCUGAGGAGCGAAAGCAUGGGGAGCGAACAGGAUUAGAUACCCUGGUAGUCCAUGCCGUAAACGGUGGGCACUAGAUGUGGGGCUCUUUCCAUGAGUUCCGCGUCGCAGCUAACGCAUUAAGUGCCCCGCCUGGGGAGUACGGCCGCAAGGCUAAAACUCAAAUGAAUUGACGG